rnacentral:tRNA from 1 species
UGGAAGGUAGCUCAGUUGGCAGAGCAGCGGGUUGUUACCCCGUGGGUCGAGGGUUCGAACCCCUCCCUUCCAGCCA